ACUAGUUGCAUGAUCCUACGAAAAAGACGGUUUCAUGCGAGAUAUAGUGAGAGAAUAACUUGAUUCGUCAAUAAUUAGUGCUAUAGCGAUAAUAUACUGAAAUUAUUAAUAUAAAUUAUUUUUAAAUCAUUCAACAUAGAAACAUAUGCAAUUGGUGUGUUUGCUUUGUUAUUGACCUUAAGUGGAAUAUUAUAUAUGAUUAGAUACUUAUAGAUAUGUAUAAGUAUUAAAAAUAUGAAAAAGUAUAAUUGUCUUCUAAACGUAAUAUGUUACUGGAUAUCUGAUUAAAUUCAAUCGCACAUAUUCUUAAAAGCCCUAAUCUUAAAUUUCUCAUUAUGUGAAUUGCAGUUAUCAUUCGUCAUCCGAUGAAUUCCAAUAAAUGAAAUUUUAUUAUAUACCAUUGCAGAAAAAUAUGAACAGCAAUAUCAAUAUCAUGGAAUUCCUUGUUAUUUAACAUCAAUUAAAUGUUUAUUGAAGUCAAAGGAAAACUGAUAUUGGACGUGUAACAUAAAUCGCACAGUGAUUAACCUAUCCCCUUCAAAUGUUUUUCAAAUUGAGGUUAAAAAUGUAUACACAUGAGAAUUUGGUAACAAAUAUCAAUGAAUCUACUAUUAGCAUUUGCAAUGAUCUUAUCGAUAUUCAAAAUAGAUACGGUUAAUGUGAAAGCCAUCUUACAUACACAGGAACACGAAAUGAUUAAUACAUUAUGUCAAAAUCGAAUACAAUGUUAAAUAUGAACAAAAAUUAAGUACCUUUAAUCCAUAUAAUUAAUUCUGGUUUAUAUCUCAAUAUACUUUCCAUAUCUCAAAAUCAAAGACAAAUUAACCGAUACAUUCUGAAUGCGCUGACAAAGUUUCUCCAUUUGUUCGCGGGAUACCUUAUGUAUUGUAUAGAACAAUACACGUGUAAACAUAUAUUAAUUGUUUUCGCCAAUUAUAAACAUGUAUUUUAUAAAAGUUUGUUCUAUUAAACGUAGAUUCUAUUUAACUUUAUAAUAUAAUUCUAUUAUGCUGUAAAGAUAGAAAUGAAUAAAACGAAUAUUUUCCAAAUUUAACGGAACUCAAUGACUAUACAAAAUUUUACUAUAAAAUGACAUAUAAAACGACACUAAAAUAAUGAAACUCAAAAGUGAUUACAAAUUUCUAUACAUUUCUUUGCAAUUACAUUACUUAUAGAACGUAUAUUGAUAAAUCUAUAAUCAACUUUGUAAUGUGACUUAAAAUAAAAGUUACAUCCUGAACUAACAAGUUUUCCCUGUUUCUUGUUGAAAUUCAUAAGUAGCUGCAUUUGACGGAAUUAAUUUAUCAUUAGGACAGGAUAUAGCUGCAUAAAGCAUUUCCACGUUGCAAUCAGCGAUUCAUUACGAAAAAUUGAUGCUGAAGGAAAAAAGUCAUGGCCGACAGCUGAAGAAAAAUGAUUCGUGCACAUGCCUCGGCUGAAUUAGACCCAAUACAUGUUUAGAAUGGCGCAGCGACCUCCAUCGCCUCGCAGGCAAAGAAAAUAAUCGUUGCUCCAGUUGGAUGUGCGCCAGCAAAUGUAGCUCCUUUUUAAGUUUGCCCUUCGAGCGUAGCCUUGACUUUCAGGCCGUAAAACGUGUGUAUAUCUCUCCCGGUAUCUUGCACCUGCUUCCCAAGGUGUGCAUGCGAAGAAGCUUUUGAUCGUAAGAGAAAUUUGGCCCAGCCGUGAAAGGACCUUAAUUUAUUUAUUGCUACGCUACGACGCGCUACGUGCGGCGGAACCGAUGACUCCGGCACUGUGCGCAUCAUUUUGCAGAAGGCCUCCAAGUGUUUUCCCGGACCACACCCUCGUCAAGGCCGUUUUUCGGCAAUUAUACCGACCACAAAAAAUAUAACCUAGCAAACACGAAGAUGGCACCCCGCUGGGGGUAGCCACCCACAUGCUAUAUUUUAUUUUUAUUUUUUUUUUUUUCUUUCCUAAUCACUAAGAUAUAAUACUUUACCAAAUGUCCGUCUGGACAAAUUGUAAAAACCAAAAUAAAAUAAAAAAAAAAAUUAUACCCAGGAUGCGUUUUCGCGGAAGGACCAUUGUGUACUUCUUUUUACAAAUUUCACUAAUGGUAUUCCAAGAAUGAUAAGUUAUUUUUACAUUUAAAAAGAUAGUUCACAUAGACAUGAUAUGUUUUCUCCAAUAACAAAAGAUUCUACGUGUAUAUGAUUUAUUGAAACUUAUUUCAUUGGAUACAUUUUCAUACAAAAAUGUUAAUAAUAAUGAUUAGUAGUAAAAUUGAAACUUAAGAAGUUCUUUUUAUUUUACAUUUAUUUAAUAAUACUGUGAGAUACCAAAUGAUAAAUUAAAUUUAGUUAGAUACGAUCUAAUUAAUAAGAAUUUCAAGAUUAAUAUUAAGUAUAUUUGGUGUUCUUACUUUUGUCAUUCAAACGAUACAAAGAUACGUACAUAGAUGUAUAACACGUCUGAACAAUAAAUAGGAUUUUGUUGAUGUACAUG